rnacentral:rRNA from 1 species
CUACGGAAGGUCCGGGCGUUAUCCGGAUUUAUUGGGUUUAAAGGGAGCGCAGGCGGAGAUGCAAGCGUGACGUCAAAUUUCGGGGCUCAACCCCGUCUCGCGUCGCGAACUGCGUCCCUUGGUUGCGGGAAGGGGAGGCGGAACUCGUGGUGUAGCGGUGAAAUGCAUAGAUAUCACGAAGAACUCCGAUCGCGAAGGCAGCCUUCCGGCCCGUCAACGACGCUCAUGCUCGAAGGUGCGGGUAUCAAACAGGAUUAGAUACCCUGGUAGUCCGUACAGUAAACGAUGGACACCCGCGGUUUGGCCUGUAUGGCUGAGCCGCCAAGCGAAAGCGUUAAGUGUCCCACCUGGGGAGUACGCCGGCAACGGUGAAACUCAAAGGAAUUGACGGGG